GUGAAUCAUCGAAUUUUUGAACGCAAAUUGCACUCUCUUCGGAGAGUAUGCCUGUUUGAGGGUCAGCCUAAAAAAAAAUCGACAUAGUCGCUGUUUCGCGGUGACGUUAGUCGGAUAUUGGGUCAUCUUAAAACUGGGGGUUUUAAGCGGCUUAAAAUUUUCUUUACGAUUACACGAACGUUUAUAAGAUUUACUACGUAUACGUUUAAGGUAUAGAUCUUUAUUAGAAGCGGCUGUUGCAUAGGACCUCGUAUA
rnacentral:misc_RNA from 1 species